rnacentral:lncRNA from 1 species
AGCAAUCUACACACAUACACUCACACACCCCGUCCCUUUCCCUCCUCGCAGAAGCCGAGGAGAUGCCAUGUGAGGGUGCAGCGAGGAGUUGGGCUGUCUAAAAGCAAAGAAAGAGAUUGCAUCAGACACCGCAUCUGCUGACACCUUGUUCUUGGACUUCCAGCUUCCAAAACCGCGAGAAAUAAAUGUCUGUGUCUAAACCCCAACCCUACCACCUCAACUGCCGUGUGUGGUGUUUUGUGAUGGCAGCCCCAGCUGACUGAGACACCUGGUUAGACCGGAAUAAGCAGUACCUGAGUCCCUUAAGAGUGGCCAAAGAAGAAAGAAUCCACUGAGUUGACAUUCCAGUUCAGCUGCAAUCGGUAGCAGUCACCAUUGAACAUCCUUGAAGCAAUUCUUCCAAAAUUACCUUGCAUCAAAGACUGCACAAGAACUGCUCUAAGCGGAAGGACUGAUGUCGGCAACCAGGGUUCCACCAGGGGCUGCAGACAGCCCUUGACCUUCAGGUGGGAAGGUGUCACUGAGUUCAGACCCUCUGGCAAUCCCUAGCUAUCAACAUUUUGAUAAGAAAAUAAGUGGAAAGAAGUAACCAAAUUUACUCACGUAGGCCAGGAAUUUCUAUGACGUGUUCCAAAUUCAGCCUCUCACUGAACACUUCCAGAGCAAGGCAACAUAAACAUCUGCAAGAAGAACAUUGUGUGAGAAAUAUCAAGUGAGAGUGGAAGAGUCUGCGGAGGGCCUCCCUGGGGCUCACCUGUGCUUUUGCCUGAGCUUCACCGUGUCAAGGAUGCAGCACUUUUUCCCUCUGGAGGAAGCAGCUUUCACCUUGGAAGAAUCUUGACCUUGCCAUUCAAAGUCACCAGACAGGGAAUCUGCCAGUGCCUUGAUCUUAGACUUCCCAGCUUCUGUAACUGUGAGCAAUAAAUGUAUGCUGCUUAUAAACUA